rnacentral:rRNA from 1 species
ACGGGAGGCAGCAGUGGGGAAUAUUGCACAAUGGGGGAAACCCUGAUGCAGCGACGCCGCGUGAGCGAUGAAGUAUUUCGGUAUGUAAAGCUCUAUCAGCAGGGAAGAAAAUGACGGUACCUGACUAAGAAGCUCCGGCUAAAUACGUGCCAGCAGCCGCGGUAAUACGUAUGGAGCAAGCGUUAUCCGGAUUUACUGGGUGUAAAGGGAGCGUAGGCGGAAGGCUAAGUCUGAUGUGAAAACCCAGGGCUCAACCUUGGGACUGCAUUGGAAACUGGUUUUCUAGAGUGCCGGAGGGGUAAGUGGAAUUCCUAGUGUAGCGGUGAAAUGCGUAGAUAUUAGGAGGAACACCAGUGGCGAAGGCGGCUUACUGGACGACAACUGACGCUGAGGCUCGAAAGCGUGGGGAGCAAACAGGAUUAGAUACCCUGGUA